rnacentral:rRNA from 1 species
CCCGGAGGGGGCGAUCGUUAUUCGGAAUUACUGGGCGUAAAGGGCGCGUAGGCGGUCCUGCAAGUCAAAGGUGAAAGCCCUCGGCUCAACCGAGGAGUUGCCCUUGAAACUGCGGGACUUGAGGCCGGGAGGGGGUAGCGGAAUUCCUGGUGUAGCGGUGAAAUGCGUAGAUAUCAGGAGGAACACCGGUGGCGAAGGCGGCUACCUGGACCGGUUCUGACGCUGAGGCGCGAAAGCGUGGGGAGGAAACGGG